CUAAACCUAAGGGCACCUUCCAGCCGUCACCAAAAACCACACCUUGAGAUCCUCUUCUUCUUCAACCUAGAACACAAGAGACCUUCAGCCGCCCACCACACCAGCAGACCCCAUUGCCAGACACCCUUAUUCUUCUUCUUAAUCUCAAAAUACCUAGCUGAACCCUAAUUUGGAAGCCCAACAAGACCUAAUUCAUUACCCCUUUUUCUUAACCUUUACACCCUAACCUUUCUUCUUAACCUACACACUACCAAAAACCCUAAUCUCCUAAGAAAACCUUCCAACCGCCCAAACUCCACCAACACCGAAAACCCUAUAUAGUAGCAACCUAAUGCCACCAACAAAAUCGUAGAGCUUCCAGGCGUCACCCUCACCAAAACAACAUAAAAACGCUUCUUCUUCACCCUUGAAUAAAUAGAAAAACUAAGAGCCUCCCACCCAUCCCAAGCCAAAAGUAGCAGUCGCUCAAACCUUUACCCAGCCGCCCAGUCGUCUCCACCCUCAACUUAGUCGUACCUCUUUUCCAGAUCUACACGUCGUGAACAACCCCCAGCACACCUCCUUGUCGCUGAUCCUUCUUCUUCACCCCAUAGCAGACUACGUGCCAAUCCCUCAUCACUAAGACUCGCCGGAAAUCCGGCGACAACCUUCGAGCAACACCUUGCAAAUGCGACCACAACACAGUCAAAAAACAAAAACAAAAAGAAAAACAAUACAUAAACAAAACAUAUUCUCGGGAGAUCAUUGCUCGUGGUUCCAUUUUUAAUUGGCUCGUUAGUUUCCUUUCGAGGCUUAGUUUGAAGCGGGUCAGUAGAGGUCGAUUUUGAUAUUUCCGUUCGAUUUUUCGGUCCAGCCCCGUCCCAUAGUUUUUCUCGAGUACUUGUAAAUCUCAGGUUCAUUUUUGAGAUUCAAUCCUGAAAUCUACUUCUGUUAUUUCGUUUCCUAUGUGAAUGUUCUGCAUUUGUUUGCUGUCGCCUUUUAGUUCCUAUCAAGUGAUGACGCCUGAUUUUAUUUAGAGAUUUGUUGAGUUGGUUAAUUUUUGAUUAAAUAUGUAUAAUUGCAACAUCAAAUCUGUGUUGACCCGUGAAAGAGAAAGAUAAAUUGAUUUAGCAGAGGAAAGAUUUUAGGAAAAAGGCUUAAACAAAUGGGUUGAUGGACAAGAAUUUCAAGGGUGGUUGGAUUAUCUAUUUGUUUGAUAGUUCUUGUUUGUAUUGAUAACAAUUGAAUAUAACGAAGCUUGAUGACAUAGGUCGUGAGUGGGCAAUCUCUUAAAAUUAGAAUCGGAAUUUGCUUCUAAAUUGAACAUUGGUAUUAAUUAACUUUGUAUUGUGUCCUUUAUUAAUUUGAUUGUUAGGAGCAUGUUUUAGGCCUACAAUACUCGGGGUAGGAAAAUCCUAGGUUUUCUUUAUUUUAUUUUUAUUUUUAGUUCUUUAUUUUAUUUUUAUUUUUAGAGGCAAGAGGUCGCUUCUUUUAGUUUAUUAUUCAGGAAAUGUCCCGCGUAAUUUGUAUAUAAUUUCUAGGGUAUGCCCCAAUGUACUUAUAUUUGGAGGCUGGAAAUGGAACUUGUAGUAUUUUUUUUUUAUUAGGCAGGAAUGACCUAGAGCCUCUUAUGUGUUUUUUUCAUUUUCUGUGUUUGUUUUUAUCUCAAUUUAAAUAUUUUUAGAAUCCAACUAGAUCGAGUAUGCAUUCGUGACUUUCACGGGACUCGGGAUGCCUAACACCUUCUCCUGAGUCAAAUGCACCUCCUUAUCCGAAUAUUUGUUGCAGACAUAGCUUUGGAGUCCAAAGUGUUUUAAAAAGUAAAAAUUAUUUUUAAACUGUGAUCUGGUAUACCGAAACCAAUGGCAUGUGAGUUAUUUUCUUUUGAACACAAUUGUUUGUCACUUUCAUAAUUAAAACCCUUCCGAUCUUUAUAAAAAUUUUUUAAAAUUUUAAGAGGAUUUAGUAAAGUGAAAAAAAUGAUGUGACAACUAGGUGUCAUGUGUACACAAAUUGUAAUUUGUAAUAAUAAGGUAUAGUACAUCAAGGUGAUUCUGGUUAUGACUCUUUGCGUCAAAUAGUUAGAUGAUUAGAACUAUCGCUGUUUUCUCUUAAUUGCAUUCACUAAUAUUUUACAUAUACUUUGAUUAUUUUGCUGUUCAUUCACAUGAUUUCCCUUCAUUGUUAUUUAUUUGUUUUGUUUUUCACUAUUAGUUGUAUAUUGAUAUUCUGCAUAGGUUAUUUGAUUAGUGAGUGUCUUGACUUGAAACUCGUCACUACUCCAUCGAGGUUAGUCCUGAUACUUACUGCAUACCGAUUAUGGUAUACUCAUGCUUUACUUCUGCCCAUUUUGUGCAGAUCUACGUACUUCAGAUAAGAGUAUUCGGCAGUGAGGCUUUGCAUACACACGGAUACUUCAAGAUAUCCUUGCAAGACCCGAUCGUAGGCCUCAGAGUCGCCCUCUUGUUUUAUCUCUACUAUUAUGUAUUUUAAACAGUAUUGUAAUUGAGAUUGAUCUCGUAUAUUCAGUUAGACCAUAUGACUCUGUACUACCUAGCUCUGAGAUAUUAUGUUGAGUAUUUG
rnacentral:lncRNA from 1 species